AAUAGAGCCGUCAUUGACCUCCGUCACCCUGUGUCAGACUGGCCGACGACCUGAGCGACCGCAGCGUGUGGAUAAGUCUCCCUCCUGAGCCUUUGAUCGGUCAGAUGCCGUCAUCGUCGUGGCCAAAUCAGGAAGUGUACAAAACCAGCGGUACUCUGGUGCUUAUUGGCCACGGAGCGUCACCUGACGUCAAUCAUCACAGACGGAGAAACCAAAGACAAACCAUCAGGGUCGUGGAUGGAUGAAAGAUCGAUACACAUGCGUGACAAUCCUCGCUGGUUGAAAUCAAACAAAUCUGGAGCUCAUUCUGUUGAAAGUAAACUGUGAACAAAAACAUCUCUAACAUCGACCAGUCGUUUUCAGACCUCAUCGUUUUCACAGUGGAUUUUUUUUUGUUUGUUUUACUUAAGGAUCAUCACAAACACUGGACGUUACUGGAAGAAGAAACAGUGUCAGGGACGGCAGCAGCCACUCCCUGGGUCUCAGUGUACACUGACUGCUGAAAGACAAAAGAUUCACUCAAACCACAGAUACUUCCUGUACUGUAAAUGCACACCUGUUAAAGCUCUCUCUCUCUCUCUCUCUCUCUCUCACACACACACACACACACACACACACUGCUGUGUUGGGUUCUCUGUAGGACCGCUGACUUCAGUAGUACCAAGGAUGACUAAAUGUCCAGAUGUUGAUCAUGUGAUCGAGACCCGCUCAUGCUCCCAGUGAUUGGCUGUAGCGUUCCAUGUGGAGAUCUUUGAAGAAGACUUUUGUGACUGCGUGUCCAAGGAAACCUCGCUCUGGAGACUCCAGCUCCAGCUCCCGCUCCUCCUCCUCCUCCUCCUCCUCCUCCUCCCCCUCCCCCUCCCCAGUCCUCUCCCCCAGCAGCUGGUAG